rnacentral:rRNA from 1 species
CCUACGGGUGACAGCAGUGGGGAAUAUUGGGCAAUGGGCGCAAGCCUGACCCAGCAACGCCGCGUGAAGGAAGAAGGCUUUCGGGUUGUAAACUUCUAUUGACAGGGAAGAGUAGAAGACGGUACCUGUCGAAUAAGCCACGGCUAACUAAGUGCCAGCAGCCGCGGUAAUACGUAGGUGGCAAGCGUUGUCCGGAUUUACGGGGUGUAAAGGGCGUGUAGCCGGGUUGACAAGUCAGAUGUGAAAUCCUGCGGCUUAACCGCAGAACUGCAUUGGAAACUGUUGAUCUUGAGUACGGGAGAGGCAGACGGAAUUCCUAGUGUAGCGGUGAAAUGCGUAGAAAUUAGGAGGAACACCAGUGGCGAAGGCGGUCUGCUGGACAGCAACGGACGGUGAGGCGCGAAAGCGUGGGG